rnacentral:ncRNA from 1 species
UGGUCCUAGCGCUUGAAAUCAAUUAUUACUUAAUAUACACAUGCAAGUCUCCGCACCCCUGUGAAAACGCCCUAAACAUCCCACCAGAAAUAAGGAGCUGGUAUCAGGCACAAUUUUUAGCCCAAGACACCUAGCUAUGCCACACCCACAAGGGAAUUCAGCAGUGAUUAACAUUGAACAUAAGCGACAGCUUGACUCAGUUAAAGUAAAAAGAGCCGGCAAAUCUGGUGCCAGCCGCCGCGGUUACACCACGAGGCCCAAAUUGAUCUUUUUCGGCGUAAAGCGUGAUUAAAGUAUUAAAAUAAUUAUAGUUGUAUUAAAACUAAGCUGUAAUACGCUUGUCUUUAAGAAACUCAAAAACGAAAGUUACUAUAUCCACCCCAACUUGAACCCACGACAGCUAGGACACAAACUGGGAUUAGAUACCCCACUAUGCCUAGUCGUAAACUUUUAUCUACACCCAUAUCGCCAGGAAACUACGAGCAAAGCUUAAAACCCAAAGGACUUGACGGUACCCCACAUCCACCUAGAGGAGCCUGUCCUAUAAUCGAUAACCCCCGCUAAACCUCACCAUUUUUAGUUAAUCAGCCUGUAUACCUCCGUCGUCAGCUUACCCCGUGAGCGAUUUAUAGUGAGCUUAAUGUCCACACGUCAACACGUCAGGUCAAGGUGCAGUAAAUAAAAUGGGAAGUGAUGGGCUACACUCUCUAAUUUAGAAAAUACGAAAGACUACAUAUGAAACCUAGUCAAAAGGCGGAUUUAGAAGUAAAAAGAGAUCAUUAAGCUCUUUUUAACACGGCACUGGGGUGUGUACACACCGCCCUGUCACCCUCUUCAACACCAAAAAAUAGUAUAUAACAUAUCUUAGUAAAUUAGAAGAGGCAAGUCGUAACAUGGUAAGUAUACCGGAAGGUGUGCUUGGAAA